rnacentral:lncRNA from 1 species
GUUUUUGGCGACGGAGUAUCUACUGCCAGAGUUUCCCCUGAUACACACGGAGUAGAGUCUUUCACUUUUGACUCAGUUGUUUCCGAGGUUCUUGACUGUCCAGUGGGCAAGGAUUCCUGUAAAGUGCUUUUUACUUCUUCUUCUGGUCGUUGUGAUUUAGCUGGUGGUUUUGAUACCACUGGACUCUUCUGAAUGGUCUGGACGUCCGUUGGAGAGAGAAAGGCACUGAAGAAAUUUUCAGAUUCAUCUACCACAGUUCUCCGAACUGGCUUUGUUAUUGCUUUAGGAGAGGCUACAGGCUGACUCUGAGGUUCACUGUUUGAUUUUAACCCCCAGGUUGAAGUAUCCCAUCCUCCACUGACAGGGAGACUUAUUCCUUUGACAAAAAAAAAAAAAAAAAAAAAAAAAAUAUAUAUAUAUAUAUAUAUAUAUGUUACAAAAGAAAAAAUAUAUUCAUUUUAUGUUAAUAUUACAAUCGUUAUAAGUCAAUACAUAGUUUAAAAACAGGAAACCUGGGGCGCCUGGGUGGCACAGUCGGUUAAGCGUCCGACUUCAGCCAGGUCACGAUCUCACGGUUCAUGAGUUCGAGCCCCGCGUCAGGCUCUGGGCUGAUGGCUCGGAGCCUGGAGCCUGUUUCCCAUUCUGUGUCUCCCUCUCUCUCCGCCCCUCCCCCGUUCAUGCUCUCUCUCUGUCCCAAAAAAAAUAAAUAAAAAACGUUGAAAAAAAAAUUAAAAAAAAAAAAACAAAACAGGAAACCUAUAGAAUACGACCUAUAACUUGCACCUAUUAGGCUACCUGCUUAUUAUAUGAUUAAUUAGUUCACUGUUGCACUUUAGGCCUUAAAGAGGAAAACUGGUACGGAUAUGUCCAAACUAGGAACCAGGAACAAAGGUAAGAGAUCAAAAUGGGCCUGGCCUACCAGAAGCAAAUAUGUUACUCCCUCCCACAACAAAUUAAGAAAGUAAUGGUAUAUGUUACAUAAC